CAGUCGCCGCGGUAAUACGUAGGGUGCGAGCGUUAAUCGGAAUUACUGGGCGUAAAGCGUGCGCAGGCGGUUAUAUAAGACAGAUGUGAAAUCCCCGGGCUCAACCUGGGACCUGCAUUUGUGACUGUAUAGCUAGAGUACUGUAGAGGGGGAUGGAAUUCCGCGUGUAGCAGUGAAAUGCGUAGAUAUGCGGAGGAACACCGAUGGCGAAGGCAAUCCCAUGGACCUGUACUGACGCUCAUGCACGAAAGCGUGGGGAGCAAACAGGAUUAGAUACCCCGGUAGUCCCUGUCUCUUAUAC
rnacentral:rRNA from 1 species